AUUAAGCUUCCUCCACCAGACAGAGUAGAGGCUUGGUACUCAGUGGGAGCUCCUGGAAGAAGGUAUACCUGAGCUGGACCCUGAAGGAUGGACAGAAUCUGGGCAACCACACCAGAGGAAGAGGAGAUGCUGACUACGCAGACUGAGUUGUGGCGCAGGGCUGGACUCUUCUCUGUGCCGCCUCUCCUGUCCUCUGCCCCCCUGGGAAGCGGCCCACAAUUCCAGCUCUUGACUCCCUGGCACUUCAUCUUCCGUGGCUACUGCCCUGUUUCCAGUAUCAGACGUCAAGCUCCCUGGGGCCCAGGACUCUGAUGGGGACCUUCACUGCAUCUGGUCCACACCCGGCACUCGGUUCUCAGCCAACCAUUGAGCUGAGGUUGUGUCUUUACUCACCUUUAACUUUCCUGAAUAAAUGAUAUCUUUAGGCAAAAUCACCCAUUUUAACUCAGACUUAGCGAUUAGCCAAGAGCUCUCAGUGUCCCAGAUGCAGGGGACAAAAGUCCUCUGAAAACUCUGAGCCCAAGUCACUUCUCUUUGAGCCUCAGCUGUGCCAUCUGCAAAUGGGGUCUAAAAGGACACCAUCGGGUUACUGAAUUGCUUUGUGAGGCUAAACUGAGGCUAGGGGAGGUUCCAGAAUUUAUGAAUUG
rnacentral:lncRNA from 1 species